AGCAGCCGCGGUAAUUCCAGCUCCAAUAGCGUAUAUUAAAGUUGUUGCAGUUAAAAAGCUCGUAGUUGAAUUUCGGGAUCAAUAUGUUGGUCGUGCCUUGGUACGUACUAAUUUAUUGGUUUCUUCCUUCUGACGAACCAUGAUGUCAUUAAUUUGGUGUCUUGGGGAAUCAGGACUGUUACUUUGAAAAAAUUAGAGUGUUUAAAGCAGGCUCACGCUUGAAUACAUUAGCAUGGAAUAAUGAAAUAGGAUGUUUGAUUCUAUUUUGUUGGUUUCUAGGAUCGACGUAAUGAUUAAUAGGGAUAGUUGGGGGCAUUAGUAUUCAAUUGUCAGAGGUGAAAUUCUUGGAUUUAUUGAAGACUAACUACUGCGAAAGCAUUUGCCAAGGAUGUUUUCAUUAAUCAAGAACGAAAGUUAGGGGAUCGAAGACGAUCAGAUACCGUCGUAGUCUUAACCNUAAACUAUGCCGACUAGGGAUCGGAUGAUGUUAAUUUUUAAUGACUCAUUCGG
rnacentral:rRNA from 1 species